rnacentral:lncRNA from 1 species
CCCAGCUCGCCCUCCCCCACCUGCGGAAGGUCCAGGGCAACAUCAUCAACAUCUCCAGCUUGACUGGGGCCAUUGGCCAGUCCCAGGCAGUGCUCUACUCUGCCACCAAGAAAAAGUUUACAGGUUCACUGACUCCUGUGGCAGAAAAAGAAUUUUCAGGACUCGUCAGACAGGGAACAACAUUUCUGCUCCUCCAGAAGGGGCCAAAACCCUGGCCCACCCCCAGGAAGGGUACAGCCCACUCUCCAGGCACUUUAUGGACUUUCAGCUUCCUGAAGAAUUUGCUUGUCAGGUCUGGUGGAGGAAGGAGCCUAGGUUUAACCAAAGGAACACGGGUUUGGAUGGCCUUGGUGACCUUGGC